AAAAAGUAAAAUAAGAGCGAACGGUGGAUGCCUUGGCUCUGGGAGGCGAUGAAGGACGUGAUAAGCUGCGAUAAGCUUGGGGUAGGUGCAAAUAACCAUUAAUCCCGGGAUUUCCGAAUGAGGCAACUCAAUGCAGUGAAGCUGCAUUAUCCUGAGAAUUCAGGAGGCAAACGAGGGGAACUGAAACAUCUCAUUACCCUCAGGAGAAGAAAACAAAAGUGAUUGCGCGAGUAGUGGCGAGCGAAAGCGCAGAAGCCCAAACCCAUGAUGUAGCAAUGCAUGAUGGGGGUUGUAGGA
rnacentral:rRNA from 1 species